GCCACCGCAUAGCGCGCCGGUGCCCUUUAUGGGCUGAAAACGGGAAUGCGGUGCGGGCCUUGCAAGGCCCCAUUCCGCGGCUGUCCCUGCAACUGUGAGCGGUGAGUGCGAUGUGCCGUGGUCCGCAAGGACCGGCCACUGGGCGAGGCCCGGGAAGGCUGGCGCAUCGUGCCCUGACCCGCGAGCCAGGAGACCUGCCGGAGCGUGUCGCUCUUG
rnacentral:ncRNA from 2 species